rnacentral:misc_RNA from 1 species
UUUCCGUAGGUGAACCUGCGGAAGGAUCAUUAUUGAAUGAAACAAUUCUGGCUUUAUGCUGUUGUGCUGGCCCUUUGGGCAAUGUGCACACGGCUCUGGUCACUUGUUUCUUCUGUUCCACCUGUGCACUGCCUGUAGACACGCUGUGUCUAUGAUAUUUGUUAACACACAACAAUGUUAGUUGGCAUGUUAUAUAUAAUAAUAAAAUAUACAACUUUCAACAACGGAUCUCUUGGCUCUG